rnacentral:rRNA from 1 species
AACGAAGGGUGCAAGCGUUACUCGGAAUUACUGGGCGUAAAGGGUGCGUAGGUGGUUUGUUAAGUCUGCUGUGAAAUCCCCGGGCUCAACCUGGGAAUGGCAGUGGAUACUGGCAAGCUAGAGUGCGGUAGAGGGUAGUGGAAUUCCCGGUGUAGCAGUGAAAUGCGUAGAGAUCGGGAGGAACACCAGUGGCGAAGGCGGCUACCUGGACCAGCACUGACGCUGAAGCACGAAAGCGUGGGGAGCAAACAGG